GCGCGCGCGCGCUCCCGGUGCCCUCCCCGUGACGUGCCUGGCCGAGGCCGCGCAAGGGCGCUGUAGCUGCCAGUGCCGCUGUCAUGGCGUCCGAGGCGCUGGCUGAAGAGAACCCGCCGCGGUCUCCUUAGAGCGAGGGGCUGGCGGCUGGGCAUGGAGAGCGGCCCCGAGAGCCUGCAGCCACUAGAACACGGGGUGGCCAUCGGGCCAACGCCAGGGACAGGUUCUCCGCAGGAAGGGCCACCGGAGACCAGGCUCGCCGCCGGAGAUGGUCCUGGAGUAUGGGCGGCGGAGAGCAGAGGCGGGAAUGGGCAGGGGGCGGCGGCCGCCGGGAGGAGCCUCUUGGACUCCGUUUCUCCCGCCGGCUCUCCUCAGGUUCCCGGACCCUGCAGCUCCUUUCCGAGCUUGGACUUGAAGGAGAGCGAUUUGGAGAACACUGCUGCCCAGAAGGCGCCUCUGAGAGGGCAACACAAGGUGACCGCCUCGCCGGAGACCGCGGAGGCCGGAGCGGACCAUGGAUCGGGUCCGGCCGGAGACGCCGGCUGCCGCGCGGAUUCCGCCGGCACCUGCCGGGCAGAGUUGGCGGCCGCCGGCUCCGAGGAGCCUAGCAGCGCCGGCGGCCUCAGUAGCAGUUGCAGCGACCCGAGCCCUCCUGGGGAAUCGCCAAGCCUGGACUCCCUGGAGUCGUUCUCUAACCUGCAUUCUUUCCCCAGUAGCUCUGAGUUUAAUAGUGAGGAGGGAGCAGAGAACCGGGUCCCCGGGGAGGAGGAGGAGGGCGAGGGCGCGGCGGUGUUGCCCCGGGCUGUGCCUCUUUGCCGAGAAGAGGAGGAGGAGGAGGAGGGGGAGGAAGCUCAGGUACUAGCGGCCUCCAAGGAACGCUUCCCGGGACAAUCUGUCUAUCACAUCAAGUGGAUCCAGUGGAAGGAAGAGAACACACCCAUCAUCACUCAGAAUGAGAAUGGACCCUGCCCUUUGCUGGCCAUCCUCAAUGUUUUGCUUCUGGCCUGGAAGGUGAAACUUCCACCGAUGAUGGAAAUCAUAACUGCUGAACAGCUGAUGGAAUAUUUAGGAGAUUACAUGCUUGAUGCAAAGCCAAAAGAAAUUUCAGAAAUUCAACGUUUAAACUAUGAGCAGAAUAUGAGUGAUGCUAUGGCAAUCUUGCACAAACUACAGACAGGCUUGGAUGUAAAUGUAAAAUUCACUGGUGUUCGAGUGUUUGAAUAUACACCAGAAUGCAUAGUAUUUGAUCUUCUUGAUAUUCCUUUGUACCAUGGGUGGUUAGUGGACCCACAGAUUGAUGACAUUGUAAAAGCUGUUGGUAACUGCAGCUACAACCAGCUAGUGGAGAAGAUCAUCUCUUGUAAGCAGUCAGACAAUAGUGAGCUGGUUAGUGAAGGCUUUGUAGCUGAGCAGUUUCUAAAUAACACAGCCACUCAACUGACAUACCAUGGAUUAUGUGAACUAACUUCAACGGUUCAGGAAGGAGAACUUUGUGUGUUCUUUCGGAAUAAUCAUUUUAGCACCAUGACCAAAUACAAGGGUCUACUGUAUUUGCUGGUAACAGACCAGGGGUUUCUUACGGAAGAAAAAGUUGUUUGGGAAAGCCUACACAAUGUGGAUGGUGAUGGAAAUUUCUGUGACUCAGAAUUUCAUCUGCGGCCUCCUUCAGAUCCUGAAACCGUAUACAGAGGACAACAGGAUCAGAUAGAUCAGGACUAUCUUAUGGCAUUAUCUCUACAACAAGAACAGCAGAGCCAAGAGAUCAACUGGGAACAAAUACCCGAAGGAAUCAGUGAUUUGGAACUAGCAAAGAAACUCCAAGAAGAGGAGGAUAGACGGGCUUCUCAAUAUUAUCAGGAACAGGAACAAGCAGCAGCAGCUGCUGCUUCUGCUUCUCCACAGGCCCAGCAAAGCCAGCCAGCACAAGCCUCUCCAUCAAGUGGAAGACAAUCUGGGAAUGGUGAACGUAAACGAAAGGAACCUCGAGAAAAAGAUAAAGAAAAAGAAAAGGACAAAAAUAGCUGUGUCAUUUUGUAACAAGUGGUGGGUUCUGUUGGAUGCGUCUGUAUGUCUUGAGAAACAAAACCACAGGAGGAAAGGAAGAAAAACCGAUAAAUACCGUCUGUGCCUGAUUUCCCAAUGGAUUUUGUUCAUGUUUUUCAGGGGAAAGGUUGUUACUUAGUUACAAUCAGACUUUUUCAAGUCACACAGUACACUCUUCCUGAGCUGGAGUUUCGCGUUACAAGUUGGAAAUGCUGUGUGGUAUCAUACAUGAAAAAAUACUGCACUUGUAGCCAAAUAAGCAAAUCACAGCAAAUUUUGUGUCAUAGUGACAUUCAUAACUCAUAUCAGUUAGUAAGCUAUUUUAUCUUUUGUUCUAACAAUGAAUGGAGGUAACUGAUUUUGUCUGAUUCCUUCCUGAAAUCUAAAUAUUAGCACAAUAGUUUCUGAAAUUAAUUUUUACAAUGUUAAAUUAUUAUCUAAUCCAAGAGAAACCAGGGGGUUAAUAUAGGGAUAUAAAAGGAAAACACACAUACACACACACACACACACACACACACACACACACACAAAACACAAGAAACAAACCAAGACAAAAAAUAACAAAUAAAUAACCUUUAAUCCUGUAUUGGACUAGUUCAGCCCUUGAACAGCUUUACCUUUCUUUAGGAAUGUACAUUUUAGAUACUAUCUUGAGAACUGAUAAUAGAGCUUGGGUUUAAUUUAGAUAGAAAAAAUAAGUUGUAUUUCUUUUCCAAUAGCAAAAAAAUUACAUAACACUAAUACUCAUAUUCUGUAAAAUCAGAUAUUAAUGACUUUGUAGUGUUGUGAAAUUUUGAGGAAUUUUGAAAUCUUUAAUAUACGUAACUUGUACUACAGUUACUAUUUAUUGAAAGUGCGAUAACUGAUAAGAAGGAAACCACAGUGGAUGCUAGGCCUUGUAAAUACAGGAAUAUAGAAAAGCAGAUAGUUCAAAUGUCUACCUUUUUCUAGAAUUACCUUGAACCUUAAAAUUUAAAUCAUGUUUAUUUGCUAGAAAAUUACGUAUACUUAGUAAAGCCAACAAAAAAGCACAUUUCUGAAAGGAAGUUAGAGAUAUAAUCUCUGAGUCUAGUGAAACGCAUUAAUAAAAAUCUGUUUGAAAAUAGAUAAGAAUUGGGAGGAAUUUAUGUAAAAGCAAUCAGACUUUUUUAACUUAUGGGAACCAAAUAGACCUAUAACAUCUUGUAGUGUUUAUAGGAUUCAGAAAGAAUAUUUAUUGAACUUUAUUAUAAGGCAACACAUAUUUUCCUGUAUUUCUACUAUCCUUAAUAGUCCUUUUUAUAUAUGCUUUAUAUUUAAAAGUUUGAUUUAGUCAUUUUUGAAAAGACUAUUGCUGCUGCAGGUAGUUAUGUGAUUUUCAUUCUAAGCCUCAGUAAAUUUGUUUAGGAGCAUCUUUAUCUAACCUGAGCAUCCACUUGGAGAAUGUUUUUUGUGGUCUGGGGUGACAGUAGACUACAAAAAAAAAAAUGUGGUAUAGAGUUCUUAAGCUAUGUCUUUAACAUUGUCCAUGAUCCAAGACUAUUUAUAGAAUGAGUCUGUAUGUAAAAAUAAAAAGUAAAGUCUUAUUUAUGGAAGGAAUUAUUCUAAGGGAAAAAUCCAGGGUCAAGCUGUAUCUUUUAUGUCAUGUCCUUCUGUAUUGCAUGUCUGGUUAUGUUAUACCAUUUGUUACUCCUUCAGAUUUCCUAUACUAGCAUGAUAAAUCAUCAGAGAACCUGUUUGGGGUAUAACACUUUGAUACAAAAUAUCUGAUCCACACAUCACAAGUAGGACAAUAUCAUAGAAGAAUGAUGUAUGAUUGCUCCACAGCAGUCAGCAAAAGGGAUAAUUGGAUAAUCUUCACUUGUGAAACUUCAGAGGUACCUGAAAGUCAUUUCCUAAAGUUAGUGCAUGUGAGUCUUUUUCCUUGAAUUGUGCAGAAUAAUUGGAUGUGGCACACAUUUUGGGGAAUAGGAAGUGAAAUGGUAUAAUGACUGCAGAGCAAGUGAUUUUGAAAUGUCACAAGAAGAAACAAGUUUUCUUCCUCCACUUCACUGUCUGACUAUUUGGGUCAGGAAGUUGCUAUGACAUACAGAUCUCUUUGUGCUAGGCCAAGAUUGGCCAAUUGAAAUAGAGUUCUCAAAGAGUUUGAAUAUAUAGAUUGUGUAUGAGCACCUAUUUUAUCCUUUUCUUUACUAUCUUAAUGCCCUUUCUACUUCUGAAACAAUUCAUCCAUUUUGCUUCAUGACCAGCUUUAAUUCCAGUUUGAGAAUAAUAGCAUCCCUAGAAAUUGAUACAAAACAGCAUUGAAAUACAUUUUUCAAAUGAUACCUAAAAGCAUCUACCCAGCUUAGAAUUGAACUGAAUUUCUAUGAAAGAAAGUUAUUGUUUUAAAUGCUAAUUAUGUUAAAACUAUUUAAUUGUAAAAACUAUGUCUUAAACAUAUUCCAAAAGUUUCACUUUUGGAGGCUAUUCCUUUAAAAAGGCAUAUUGAACACAGAUGGGAAAGUGUAAAAUAUUUCUGAUAGAAUUAUUCAGUAUUAUUCAACAUUUAAUUUCAUGUUUGUUAUUGUACCACAAGGAUAGUGUCAUUCUUGGAUUAAAAUGUUGGACCUUUUGUUAAUAUACUUAAAACUGUAACCAGUGAUAACACCCUUAGUAUUUUUUAUUAUAGAUUAUAUUUUAUUUCAAUAAACUUUGAUAUUUAGACCAAACAGUCUUUCUCUUAUGUAUAUUCAUCUCAUUAAGGUACUUCUUACAAAGUGGGGAAAUGGAGAGAUGGGGAAGUGACAUUGAUUCAUAUCUAGAAUUGUGAACUCUAGGAUUAACUCUUAGAAUUGGACCAACUCUUUGUUUUUAAUGUUUGUUUAUUUUUGAAGGGGAGAGAGAGAGCACAAGUUGGGGAGGGGCAGAGACAGAGGGAGACACAGAAUCUGAAGCAGGCCCCAGGCUAUAAGCUGUCAGCACAGAGCCGGACGUGGGGCUCGAACCCAUGAGCUCUGAGAUCAUGACUUGAGCCAAAGUCAGAUGCUUAACCGACUGAGCCACCCAGGCGCCCCAUUUUUUUUUUAAUGUUUAUUUAUUUUUGAAGGAGAGAGACAGCAUAAGCAGGGAGGGGCAGAGAGAGAGGGAGACACAGAAUCUAAUGCAGGCUCCAGGCCCCGAGCUGUCAGCACAGAGUCUGACAUGGGGCUCGAACCCACAAACUGUGAGAUCAUGACCUGAGCAGAUGUCAGAUGCUUAAUGGACCAACACUUGAUAAAGAUGGAUUUUAACCCAAGAGGCAAUGAACAAAAAACCAAUCAACUCUAAACUAUAGUCAACUACUGGAUCCCAAUGGUAGAUUCAUUAUAUCUGAUACUCUUAUCCUUUUGGAAGACUAAGUUAGAAAGAGCUGAGAAGGGAUCACUUUAUCUUUAUACCAAGCCAACCUUAAUAUGAAGUUUUUGUCCAAAUCAGCUAAUGUCUGCCAUUUCUGUGAAAGUUUUCUCAGACACCAUAGCCCUUUAAACAGAAUUAGUCAUUACACAUAGUGUUUUCUUGACCUCCCCUCAUUAUAGUACUUAAGCUAGAUUGUGAGGCUUUUAAGAACAGGAAGCAUAUCUUACUCAUCUUGAUUUUCUUGGCACUUUAAAUGAAUUUGAAUAUCUAUUUAGAGGAAUUUUUUAAUUCCUUUAAUAGUUAUUGUUUCCCUGUCCUUUAAAUAAGUGAAAUAAGUAAGUUGGGUUAUUGAAUCCAUUUUCUCCUAUAGCAUAAAAGUUCAGGGUGCCUGGGUAGCUCACUCAUUUAAGCAUCUGACUCUUGUUUUCAGGUCAGGUCAAAAUUUCACAGUUUGUGAGAUUGAACCCCAUGUCAUCUCCACACUGAGAACAUGGAGUCUGUUUGGGAUUCUUUCUCUCCCUCUGUCUGUCCCUCUCCUGCUCUCUUUCUCAAAAUAAAUAAAUAAACUUAAAAAAAAUUAUGGGGGUGCCUGGGUGGCUCAGUUGGUUAACCAUCUGAUUCUUGGUUUUGGCUCAGGUCAUGAUCUCACAUUUUGUGAAAUUGAGCACCGUGUCAGGCUUUGCAGUGACAGCGCAGAGCCUGCUUGGUAUCUGUCUGUCCUUCUCUCUCUGCCCCUCUCCAACUUGUUCUCCCUCUCUCUCUCUCUCUCUUAAAAAAAAAAAUAAAUAAAUAAAUAAAUAAAUAAACAUUAAAAAAUAAAAGUUAUGUAGAUAGAGGGAACUAAAAUUCCUAUUCCUUUAUUCCUGCCUCUGAUUUUCCUUGGGCAUCAUCCUGUAUCCUCCCAGAGUUGAUGAAAGAACACUUCCAACAAAACUAGAGUAAGCAGCAUUGUUCUUUCCUGUCUCAUAUCUUUCCUUGCAGGGUCUCUUUUUCACUUUAUAUUAUCCUAUGAAGUACGCACCUAUUAAUUUUUGGAGCUGAGAUUUGAAACCAAGCAGUUUGACUCCAGAGGCUGUGCUCACAAAUAUAUCUGGAAGGGGACAUACAGGUCUAGGCCAGAUCUGUGUUCAAAUUCUGACCCUGGACUUUUAAAGUCAUAUCUGUCUCAAGCCUGCAGAAAUUUGCAAAAUCAGGCCUAUUGGUCUUUUUUAAAAGUACCCACUAAUCUUAGAGCAAAUUAAUACUACACAGCCUGUUUUCUACACUAAAAUGUCAUAAUUUAUACCUUGUUAUAAAGUUUAAAAAUAAUGCAUAUAAAAUGUGAUAUGCAUAACAAAAUAAAUUGUAACAGAUUAGUACUAAUAGACUAGGGAAAACUUUUUAACAAGUCAAGAACUUUAAGAAAGACUGAUUAAGGAGAUUAAGAAAGCUACUUAAGCCUAUAAAAGCAGACAUUUUUCUGUUAUCUCCAGAUAUAAUGCUGACCCUACCAUGAGGGCUGAGAUUAACCUGGACUCAGAAUGACCCAGAGUGAAAAGCAUGGAACAAACAAAACUUUAGAAUGCAUAGAAUAAUAUAAUAAUGAAUACCAGAUAAAACGAAAUUGUGGCAUGUUCUCCUAGAAGACUAUUAGAUUACUCAUUUGUCAAGAAUAAAAUAUAGCAGGAGACCCAGGCACCUAGACUUUACAGGAAGGGUCAUAUUUGGACUAAAGCUAUAACAUUGUAUUUUACAAGUAAGGACAGGGGUGCCUGGGUGGCUCAAUCGAUUGACUGUCCACCUCUUUUUUUUUUUUUUUUUAAAGACUUUUUUUUUUCAAGUUUAUUU